CGGAGGCUGGGGCGUUGCUGCCACCAGUGGGCGGGGCAGCGGGGCAGCGGGGCGGGGGCACCCUCACCUGUCCGUGUGUGGGGAUCAGCCUGGGCUCCGUGGCCUCCGCUUGCACCGGACGUGGACCCAGGCUACCGGUGGGCAAGAUAGAGGACUGAGCCCAGGCACGCACGGCUGGCCAGGUGGGAUCCCCACCCCCGCUCAGCCUUCUUUCUGCAUGGAUGCUGAAGGACCAGGCUCACUUGAAGUUCUGAGUUUGAGCAGUAAGGUGGAAACAAAGAAACCAAUGGAAACAAAGAAACAAGUCAUUGUGGCAAAGCUCCCCACCACAGAGAAGCUGCCCUGAGUGGAAGGGAGGGUGUGGGCAUGCCCAUUUGUUUCGUGUCUCCCAGUGCUCUUCGCUUUCUUAUUGCAGACCUGCAUGGUUACAACAAAAUGAUCUGCAAAACUGAAAAUAUUUACUCUCUGGCUUUUACAGAAAAGGCUGACCAGCCUCUGGUUCCCGUACCGGUCAACUGAUUGGAGUACCUUUCCAGUUUGGAAACAUCUGGGCAGGCCCAGGUUUGCAAAAUUCUUUAAGAGUAGUUAUGGAGUUUUGCUUCUAAACAUUUUUAUGGCUGUAUACUUCUGAGCUGAGGUUGUGCUGUGUAAUUCUGAGCCGGGAUUUUCUCAAACUGUUUCUUAUUUCUUAUACCGGACACCCCUAAAUUCCAAGGGGAAUGGGAUGUUAAGGAAGCCAUGGAGUUUAGGAAAAAGAUACAGAUUUCAUUUCCAUUUAAGCAUCGAUGUAUCUCCAUCCUAGGCAGUAUCGGUUCUGUGGUAUUGAUAGGGGAACUAAAUAGCAACCAAAUUUAUAGAAAAUAGUGGGUCAUUGGGUACACAAGUUCUUCUUUUCAACAUUUUUGUAGUGUUUGCAGUUUAAGAUGACCGUUCCUGAGAAACAGGCAGCCUCUUAGAAUGAAAUAGCAUUUUCCCUGAACCAUACUCAAUUUUUAUUUCGUAGACAGCAGGAAGGGCAAUCACACAUCCAACACUUGGGGACCUCAAAGAUAAAACGUAACUUUCUGGGAGCACACUCCCCCCGUCUCCCUCUGCUCUUUUCACUGUCCCAUUGUCCCUGAAGGCUCUUUUGUAUCUUCUGCUCAUGACUCCAGUAACUCUUCCUUCUCGUCCCUCAGCUGGUAAGUUUACUUUUCUACUUUGACCAAGCAAACUGAAGCCAACAGAAGAGAACUUUCACCAGCAACUCCCAGCACAUCCGCUCGCCUUCUGAUGUCUGUGACCUCACUCUCGCUGCCCCACCUCUUAUUACAGGUGACAUCGAAAGCCAGAUCAUCCAAAAGUCACCAGGGGGCCCAUCCAUACAAUCUUCUCCGGGCUGUCACUCCCACAUCCAUCCUCUCUGUCACUACCUCAUCUAUUUUGUUCUCCUGCUAGUUGGCUCCUAUCAGUAUAUAAAAGUCCAUCCUCUUAAAAGAAACAAACAGCACUCCUUGACUCUAAUUGGCCCCCACCAAUUGCCACCCCAUGUCUUUGCAGCAAAUCUUUAAUGAGUCGUUUAAACUCACUGUCUGCAUAUUCUCUUGAGCCAUUCCCUUUGGCACCCACUCUGGCUUUCCCCCUGAUCCCUCGCUCUAUGGAAACUGCUCUGUCAAGGCCAUCAGUGACCCCACGUUGCUAAAUAUAGUGGUCAGUUUUUAGUCUUCAUCAUGCGUGGCCCUUUGGCAGCAUUUGACCCAGCUCUUCCAUUUCUCCUCCCCCGUGUUCCUGCUUCACUUGGCCUCCAGCCCAUCGCUCUGCUUUCGAUCCACUGGCUGGUCUUUUGCCAACGUCUCCUCUUUUUUCCAAAUAUUUACUGCGAAUGUGCCUCGGAGUUGGGUCCUGGGUCUCUCCUCUAUCUCACUGCUAUACUUUUGGUGGAAGCAACCAGACUUGGAAAUUGACAUGCCAUCAAUUUCUCGAUUUGUCCAAAACUCCCUGAUUGGCCUUUUCCAUUUGGAACUCUCUCCCUGAUACUCAUAUUCUUUUUCUUUCAUUCAUCUUGCUUUCACAUUCAUACAUAUGUUCUACUGUGUAAAUUACUUUUCCAAAUUUUGAAUCAGUCCAUACAUAUCAUGUGAAAUGCUCAGAUCUCUAUUAUUUCCACUAAGAUGCUUAUUCUACCUUAGAACCUUUCUGCAUUUCUGUAUUUAUGUCAAUAAAGUGAAUAGUAUUUCUACAAGCCUCAUAGUUAAACAGUGUGUUUGUUUGGGGCUACUAUGUAACAUGAAAUAAUGAUACAUCAACAUAGUCUUUUUUCAUUUAAUUUUAUGUAACACCAAGAUGAGGUUUUUGCACUGAAGACUGUUUCAUUGAAAUUUUACCUACGUUAUGGACAGUCAGUUUAUGUGAAAGCCCUCAUUUCUCCCCUUUUCUGAUAUAUUUUCCAUUUGGCUAUUAUAACAUAUACCUUGGCAUGAAAUAAAAUUCCAAAUCCAUUCACAUAAUAAAAUUAAUACAUUUAAAUUAUAUUUUUUAAUGUUAAAAAGAAAGAAAAAAAAACCCCAGACUCCUCUACCUAUUAGGCAUUUCUGUGGCAAUAUCUAAUAGACUCCUUAAUCAUGACAUUGAAGAACUGAGCUGAUUCCAGCCCCUUUCCACCUGCUCAGCCCCAUCUUGUCCCAUCCCCUGUGGAUGGAGAGGACAUCCAUCCCAUUUUCCAGGUCCAGAUGUUGGAACCAUGUUCUCUCUCUCUCUCUUUCUCUUACACACACACAGACAGCAAAUCCAGCUUGUUAGAAAAUUCUGGCUACUCUGAAAUCAUUAACCACAUACUCCCUGUUCCCCACCCUCCUAGGAGCCACCUUCAACCCCUUGUUGGACACCAAUUAGCCUACUUCUUCCAUCUUUGCUUUUCUACAAUCUCAUCCACACAGAGUCAGAGGGAGCCUUUAAAAGCAUACAUUGAGGGGGUGGGUGUAGCUCAGUGAUACAGUGCAUGCUUAGCAUGCAUGAGAUCCUGGGUUCAAACUACAGCACCUUCACUAAAAUAAAUAAAUUAACCUCCUCCCAAGAAAACUCAAAACAAAAGCAUAAAUUGGACAUCACCCAUCCCAUCAAAACUCACUAAAAGGGUCACCAUUCCAUUAGGAGCCAAAGUCGUCCCAAAGUCUUCGAGGACCCGGCCUGCUCUGCCUCUCCGCCCACACUCUCCCCAUCACUCUGGGGGCCUCUGGCUCCGGCUCUUCCUUCUUCCUCCGGAUCUAUUCUGCUUCAAGUUCAUUACUCCUUGAGAUCUGCCAGGAUUGCCUUAUUCCCUCCUGCCUGCCUCCCACCCCACCACCAUCACCUGAGUUUGCUCAUAUCACUCUUAUUUUUCCCCAAGCUCUUGCUACCCCCAUCAUGUUGCCUGUUUUCUCUGCUAAAACUCUGAGCCCCCAGUGAUGGGGAGUCGUGUCUAUUUUGUUGACUAAUAAAGCCCAAGAGCCUUGGGAAUGGGUAUAGUUACUAGAUUCCCAUAAGUAGUAGGAGCUUAUACAGAUUUGCUGAAUGAAAGCAGAGGUCCUGGUCCAAUUCGAUGGAGCACUUCUGUGUCCUGCUCAAAGAUUAACUCUCCUUUCCUCCUGAGAGAGGGUGACCACUUCCUUGGUGAUCAAAGAUUGAACAGGAUCCAGGGGGAAGUACCAAGCCUGUCCCAUCGGCCAUCCUGUGUGUCAUGUCCUGUGACCCAGAGGAUGCUCAGCACCCUCCAGCUGAAGAAACAGAUUGCCUUAGGUACAUGAAAGGUGAGGACACCUACUAUCCCCAUGGAGCGCAGGUGGGGCUGGGAGUCUGCUGUUUGUACAGCCGGUGGGCUCGUGUUGCUUUGGGCAUCCCUGUGCCUGAAUUCCUGCAGUACACUCGGUGCCUGUUUCCUAAUCUGCAAAACUGGAAUGAUGUUAACCAUCCCGCAGGUUUGUUGAUGGGCUGGGACACACUAGACUGCCAGGAGCUGGAAUUCCUCUGUGCCCUGAUUGUAAUCCUUCCUUCACACUAUUUACUCUCACAAGUUCAGUCUCUCUGUCUCUCUCAUUCACUUGUAACUUUCUCUACUGCUCUGGUUUCAUUUGAUUCCCACCCUCCUCCCAAUCCCCAGAUGAGUGAAAUUAAUUUCUGUGUGUCAGUUCCAAAUUCCCGGGAAAGAUGCUCUGUCCCCUCUGGAUUGGUUGUCCAACCCAUCAGUUGCAGUCAGAGGAGUGAGUCCCUCUGUGACCAGAGGAGGGGCUCUGCCCAGCCCCCCAGCCACCACUGUGGGAGCACAUAGCUCUCCGAGGAGGAGGUACUGGCUGUGACUUGGUGUCACUAAGUGUGAAUUUAUCUCUCCUCUUGCCCCACAUUCAUCCUCCUAAACAAAGAUGAAAAUUAAACACUCCCGAGAUUUGUGUCAUGGAACACUCAGGGUGGGGGCUAAGAGGGCUGGAUUCCCUGCUGAGUGUAAGGGGCUACAGUGACUCCCCAACGAGAGCCUGUAAAGGAAACAGCACCGGCCCCACUGGACAUUAGGGUGCUAAGUCUGCGUGACAUUGAGCCAGGCUUCUGACCACAGCUCAGGGGUCUGUUCUGACCGGUUAGUCUUUGAAACCAACCAGCUUUGGAUUCCUCAAUCCCUCCCUGAGGUUUUACCUGAACCACGAGCUUCUGUAUCUCUGAAGACAGAUGAUGAGGACCCUUCACGUAAGGCAUUUGCACAGCCCUGUGCGGGAAUUUGUGCUGCACGGUCUGCCCGGCGAGCUGACCAAAGUUCGUAUUUUACUGAUCUUAGAAAUAGUCUGGUUUCCUGAUGCACUGUUUCACUGAACAAGCAACAGAAGCCACCUCUGGCUGAUAAAAGCAAAAAAGGGACUUAAUGAAAAGAUACUGGGAGGGUGCAUGGAGUGGCCCAGACCAGAGCCGACCCGGGGGCCGUAGGAGAUGUUGGGGAGCCUCAGGCACCAGGCUGCGCAGGGUGCUACCGGGCCCCCUGCUGCCCCAGCAGGGACCCCACUCCUCCUGACACUCCACCUCACUGCAGGUUCAUGUCCCGGCAGGGCCAGGUCACACUGAAGCCACCAGCACACACCUCAAUGGGGGAGUUGGCCCCUUCUCAGCUGAGGGCGUGCCUGGUGUGGGGAGAUGCCCAGUUAGAGGAAGGCGGUUCCCCUACUGUUCCGAGUUAAUGCGCAAGUCAGUGUCCAUCACUCAGGAGAGCCGGGCUGGUCGGACCUCAUUGUGGUGACUAGGCCGUCUGAGUUCACGUAUUACUUUUUAGGUUGGAAGGCCCAAGAGGGAGAAAAAGUGGAGGUUCUAGUACUUAUUUUAUAUUUCCCAUGUACCAGGUGCGGUAAGCAAGCCACUUCAGACAAGGCCCAUAACAACCACAUUAAUAGGCCACGGAGAAAGUCAUGCAGUCAGGCCUCUGCAGCCCCGAAACCCGUGUCCUCAUCAGUUCCGUAGUUACCAGUGGAAGUUGUAGGGUUUUAUGGGACUGUGUGCUCCUGUGGGGGCUGGGAUGUGUGUGUUUAAAUCCACAUCUUCAGAAACUCGGCCAGAACCACAGCCACUGAUUGUCUGCAUGGAGGCAGAGGAGGGGAGGCUUCCAGCCUCUGGUCCAGCUCGUGUGGAGCUCAGAAGUUGCUCCUUCUGUCCUGAAAACAACACCAGAGCUGAGGGAGCUGCAAACCCACUGCUCUUCUUAGAUCCACAAGAAAACUGAGGGGGAAAGCUGCUCCCAACACAGAGAGGCAGCCGGGCAGGCUUGGAGAGUCACAGCUCCCAGGGCAGAACCCGCUUUUGUAAGAACCCCGGGGGCAGGCAGAUUUAACAGGUCCCUGAGGCCAGCUGGAGGCUCAGCGUGGGGAAGUCCGAGUGUGACAACUCCAGGGGGCCAGUCAGAGGGGCCCCCUGCUCUUUUUCAUGCAUUUUACUUCCAGGACCGUUUCCUGUUCUCAGAGUGAAGAUCAUAGGAAAACUCCUCAUGGUUCCUGCCAGGAAAGGAAAAAAUAGCUCUAUUGAAAUACACCCAGAACAUUCUCUUCCAUUGUGGGUGGUUGUGUUUUGUUUUUUUUUUUAAUGAGAAAUUAUUUUACCAGAGCCUAACCUACCUGGGGGAAGGGAAAUACCUUCUGUGUCACCCAAAUUGGGGUGGGGGAAAGAGACACACUUGUGGAGGUCACAGCUCAGGGCACAGGCUCAAUGAGAACUAAUCACAGGACUACAAAUGCCCUGCUCUGUCCCACUCCCCCAACACCUUACCUCCAUUUCAGUAGGGCCCCUGUGUUAUAACAGGAAUAAAAUUAAAAGAAGUAAAUGUCUCAGGAGUGUCUAGGGAAAACCCAAAGACAGCGGGGAGAUGGAAACAAGGACUCACGGGUGGCUUUAGCCUCUCGCACGAAUAGCUGUAGCAAACUACACACAGCCCAGCCCCAGUAGAUAAACAGAAAACCUCACAGAAGAAACUAUUUAUUUUGGUUCUCUUACCCAGUGCAUUCCAUGGUGCAUCCUCGCCUAGAAUUGAGUGGAAGCAAGUCCAUCUCAGAAGGGACAUACCUGAAGAGAAAUGGCUUUCCAGACUCUGAAGGGCAGAGAAAGCACCAGCCUGGGUUAGAGAAAGAGAACAGCAUCUCUGAGCCCGUCCUGGGUGACCUCACAGAGAUCACCCUAGUGGCCCAGGCUAGUGACCGGGAACAUGUACCUUCCUGCAGCCAACCCCAGACGUCCACUGAUGCAUCAUAUACUGGCAAAGAUCCUGGCCUGGGGGGGUGUUGGCCGCCGGAGAUUCGCCAGAUGUUGGACUCCAGGGGCGGCUUCUGCUGCCGUAGAGGCGGGACGCCGGUCUCCAGGUGAGCUUGGUCCUGGGAGGCGGCGGCGGCGGCGGCGGCUGUGGGUUGGGGUCCAUUCCAGGGAGCUGCUCCAUUUCUUCUCUCCCCCGCGGCCUGGCCUGGGGGCGACCUCUGCCGCCAGAGAUUUGCCUGAGGUCCGACUCCAGGUGAGCUUGCUCCUGGGAGAUGGGUGCGGUGCAGUCAGGGGGCUGGGAUGGUGGUGGCUGCGGGGAUAGGGAGGCUGCCCCGGGGGAGCUUGAGGAUUAGCUCCCAUGUCUGUGCCGCGUGGCCUGCAGGCGGCCUCUGCUGCGCCAGGUCCUGGGACAACCCUUUCCCACUUUGCCUGCUGGGGGCGGGAGGCAGGGUAGUCAGGGUGCACGGGUGGCGGGGGUCGGGGGCCUGCAGCGGGGGAGCGGGUACAUUUGCUCCCAUCUUCCCCGCGGCUUGUCCUGGGGGCGGUGUCUCUUGCCCUGGGUUAAGAGACACGUGUAUCCUAGUCAGCCUGGCCCCAGGAGGCGGGCGUGUUACGUUGGGGGUGGUGGCAGCAGCGGCAGGUUUUCCCAUGGAGCCGGUCCAUUUGCUCCCAUUUCUCCCCGUGGUUUGCCCUGGGGGCGGUCCCUGUUGUCCCUAGUUCGCCGGACGUCCAUCUCCAGGUCAGCCUGCUCCCUAGAGGCGGCCACCGUGAGCUUAACCACCGGAAGUGGGCAGGAUGUGCUGAGGGGGCGGAGGCAGCCGCCAAGGCAGCGACGGAGGGGGCUGUCCCUGGCCAGCCGGUCAAUUUGUUCCCAUCUCAACAUUUGCUGUCCCAGUUUCGCAGGACGCCCUUCUCCAGUUUAUCCUUCUCCUGGGAGGUGACAUUUUAGGUUAUUGGGUCCCAGAUUGCUGGCACACUCAUCCCUGUUCUCAAACAUCUUUUAAACUUGGGUGAAGUGUUAAGUUGGGGAAGAAGAUGAUUUACUGAAAGUCUCCCGAGAAGAGAUUCAGACUGAACAGCUUUGUGUCGGACUUUGGAAGACCGCUGGUGCCCAAGGGGUUCUCUGGCAGCACAAUGACGAAUCUAGGUCCCUCUUUCACUGCUACGUCAAUGAAGUGGACCGCAUGGACAAGGCCAAAGCUGGUAUCCCAACCAUAGCCCUUGACAGUGAUGUUCGGCUCCAGGAAGCCAUCAGAUGCAGCAGGUGGCCAGAGAAGGAGCCUAACGGGCUCAUGAAAUGUGACACCCCCAGCUUCAUCAACACGGACCAGAACUCUUCCUUUGGGGAAGAUGAUCUCCUGAUUUUGGAACCACCGAUUGUUCUAGAAAAUAAGCCAGUUGCCCAGACCUCACACAAAGACUUGAAUUGGAAAUGUGCUUUGUCAAGUGUUUCUCUGAAGAUGUGAAGUCUGUCUUUGUAUGGCAGGAAGUCCCCUUUCACAAAAUUGUAUGUGUUUGUGUCUGAGAGAGAGAAAUGGAGACAGACAGAAAGACGGAGACAGAAGAGAGCCCCCUCAGAAGAGAGCUAGUUAAGCACCCCAGACUGACGAAGACAGUGGAGAAUGCCUCUGAGUUUGGCACUGAUUGCCUGGAGAAUGCUGAAACCCAGGGAAGUGGGCAGCACAGACGUUUACUCAUUUAAUCCUGCCAACACAGUAGGAGAUAGAGUCUACAUAUUCCUCGCUACUUAAAAGAAUAACUUCAUAAUCCUGCAUGUUGCUGGUGGCUCCCAUGUUGGACAGCACGGGCCUAGAGAUUUUAAAUUACUUGCCCAGACUCGCCCAGGAAGCUCGUGGUGGGAUCCGAGCUAUAGUCUGGGACUUUUCCUUCCUAUCCAACAAGUCCCUCAUGGAAGUUUAGAAGCUUCUCCUUUGGUGCCCAGCUGUCUAUCCGUACUUAUAACAUCUUGUCAGGUGUUCCAGCCUGCUCCUGAACAUCAGCCAGAACCCACUUCUGCUCUAUUUUGUCCAGAUCCCUGCCUUCUCUCUGCUCCUCCUGUCCAUGUCUCUCCCUCCACUUUUCCCCUUCUCCCCUCCUCCUCCCAUCUUCUCCGUCCCUCCCUUCCCCAACUUCUCUUGCAGAACACAGAGAGGAUCGCUGGCCCUCCUGCGCAUGCGCAGUGUGUGCCAGCUGGACCGAGGGUUGGAAGCUGCAACUCCGAGCCGGGGAUCGGCCCCAAAGGCUUCUCAGCUCUUUCGCCCGCUCAGUGGUGUGGGCGCUGCUCCCCGGGCUGAGAGCCUCCGGCUGUGAACCCCAGCUUCUCCUGUUGGAGUCGGGAAAAGGGAGCGUCAGUGCUGAGCGAGCUUCCGUCUCCUCCCUCAGUGUUUCUGCCCCAGUACGUUUUGGUUACUGAGACCCUCGAAUUCCCAUAUGAAUUGUAGCAGCAGCUAGUCAGUUUCUGCAGAGGAGACCGCAGGGAUUGUGAUCGAGACCACGUUGAAUAUACGGAUCGUUCUGGGGAGCACUGCCAUUCCAAAAGCGCUGUCUUCUGAUCCAGCAAUGUGCGUGGUUUGUCCAGGUGAUAAUGCUCUGGCUGCUGAAUGUGCCCUUUCCCCAGACUUGGUUUUGGAGUUAAGUCACCAUCAGUGGAGCCCUCUCUUUAAAAGAUGAAGAAAACAUUUGCUCCUUCUCCCUGGUUGGGGACUUGGAUGAGAUGAGGUGCCCUCACCUCCCGUAGCAUCCAUCCAGACACCGGAACUGACACUGGCCGUGCUCCGAACUGCCUCAGCCCUGAAGACACAACUGACAAAUAGAAGGGGACCACGCCCUGUUACAGCAGGUGCUCUCACUUUGUGGAUCCUUAUGUAACUGAGCGGUGUUAAUCAGGAUUGCCCGUUCUACAUUGUGUGGCGCUGCUGCGGUGUCUCCUAGUUACUUGUUUCUCUCGCUUUAUUCACUCAGGGGUAUAUCAUGGACGUCCUCCCACUCCAGACUCACCCGGCCCUUUCAGAUAGAUUGGAGGGGUCUCCUGAUGUGCGGGUGUCGUCUCUUGUCCACGGAAACAUUUGGUGGGAGACUGCUGUGGACAAGGCCCUGGACCACGGCGAAACGCCGGCUCCCUCAGCGCCCGCAGCUCGCCUUGAUUUACCGCAUCAUUGUCUUGAUGGUGGACAGUUAAGUUUUCUCCAUUUUCCACUGUCAGAAAGAAUGUUUGAGUUGCAUCCUUCUUGUACAGAACUUCCUGUGAUCUUGUAUGUGUAUUCCUUUAGUUAAGGCUUCUGGAAAUUUAGUCCCUGGAUGUGACAUUUACAUUCAUCACAGACUCCUUUCAAGUGACUAGAAAUUCCUUCUCCAUUGGGGAAUGAAAAAAUGCACAAUUACUUAUGUAACCAAUUCUCUAUCGCUGGAUAUGAUUUCACUUCAGUUUUUCUUCCCACCUUUGUAAACAGUGCUGUGUAAAUGCCCUGAUGGGUACAUCUUUUUGGACUGAUUUUUUUUUCCUAAAGGAAACGAUUCCUAGAAGUGGAGUUGAGUCAGUGUGUAUGUACGUUUUUCAGAGCUUACAAAUCCAUUGAUAUGUCAUCCUCUGAAAAAGUCGCUCAUGAUUUGUUCUCCCACAGAUGGACACUAGCUAGAUUAUCUUAAAAAUAUUUGCCAAUAUGAUAAGCAAAAGUGCUUUUUCAUUGUUUUUUUUGCAUUUGAUGACCAGUGAAGUUUUGAGCAUUUUUCACUCAUUAGUCAUUUGACUUUUUUAAAAUGAAUGAUUCCUUUUGUCCUUUGCCCACAUUUAAGUGAGGGAGCUUCUUGUUGCUUUGUGACAGCUUUUUGUAUGUUAUGAAAAUUAACUUCGUGAAUUCAUCAACAUGUAUCACAGAGCUUUUUCUUGUCAUUUCUUUCCUUUCAUUUUGUUCAGGAAGUUUUCUGAUUUUUGUUGUGGCUCAAACUAUUCUUAGGAUAGUAAAUGUCUUCCUUAUGGGUUUUAUCUUUGACAUUAUUCUUAGAAAUACUCUCUUAUAAUGGAAUAAAUCUCUUCUGUAGGUUUUUUUUAAUCUCUAAGAUGGAGAUUAUAAUAGUACAUGUUAUAGUGAGGAGAAGUUGAGUUAAUAAGAGCAAAGAGUUGUAUUUGCUGUUACUAGUACUUUUUAAUAUUUACAUCGCUAUCUGCAAUUUAUCUUGUGGUCAUUAUGACAGGAGUAGAAUUUAUUCUUUCCAGGUGAUUCUCUGUCCCAGGACAAUUAUCGAAUUCAUAAUUUUCUCUUUGAUUUGAAAUCCCACCUGUACAAAAUACUUACAUACACUAGAGUCUUUUUUGAGCUCAUGGUUCCCUUCUGUCAAUCUCCUUUCCUUACUCCAGCACCAUAUCUUACAUGUUGUAAAAAUUUAUUUAAUAACUGGCAGUCUGAUUUUUUUUGAUUCUUUUCUUCCAUCCCAAAUUUUCUUGUCAAGUAUUAUGACUUUAUUAUUCCUGAAGAAUUCCAAAAUAUUUUGUUCAAGUUAAAAAAAAUCAGAUUGGAAUUUUCAUGGGAUUUUUUAGUAAGUUUUGAAUUAUUCUUAGGAGAACUUACAUCUUUACAAAACUGCUUUUCUCCAUGCAAUAUGUUUAUGUCUCUACAUUCAUACCUCUUACUUUAACCCUCAGUACAGUCCUGAAGUUUCUCCAUUUAGAAUAUGGGCAUUAUUUUUGAAUUUAUUCCAGAUUAUUGUUUAUGUUUUUGUUAAUUUUGUAAGUGAGAAUUUUUUGCUAUUAUAUUUUUAAAUGUUUAAAACUGACAUUUAGAAAGGAAGAUUCGGUUUGUCAAUACUCACUUUGUAACUUGUCAUUUAAAAUUGUAAGUAUUAAGUACUUGUUCCAGAAUCCUUUCUUUUCUGUUUUUUAAAAUUUGUUUCCAAGAUUCUCAAAAUGUUCAUAGCUAAGUAGUAUAGGUGGGGACACAGAUGGAGAGAGGAAGUGUGGCUCACGAACAAACUGUGAGCAAUUUCAUGGCUGCCUUUAGGCUGGAGAAGCCACAGAAGAGCCCAGGUUAGACCAAGGGUGGCUUUGUAUGCACUUGAAAGCCAGCUUUCCUGCCUGUAUGGUGAAGCCUGGUGGGCGUGGCAGGUAGAUGAUCAAGGUCUGAUCAAGGUCAUUGGCUGCACAGAGCACUGUGUCUGUGAGAACUGGAGACCAUUACCAUGGGAAAUGCUUGGCGCCAGGAACACUGCAGGGGAGCUGGGGAGCCUGUGUGUUAAGGAUUUUCCAGCCCUGGGAGUGGGAAGAUGAGACUCUGCAUUCAGAUCUGAGUUUGAAUUCAUCCUCUCUUGUUUACUGGUCCUCUGACUUUUGUCAAGUUAUCUACCCGCUUUGAACUCCUGUUUUCUUGUCUCUCAAAACAGGAGAAUUACAGCCUGCUGCUAGAGUGUUUGAUCAGGGUAAAUGAUUUGUGUCUAUAAGAUGCCACGUACAGUCACAAUCUCAGUGAGAAAUGGGCUGUCGCCUCUUCUUCUGCAACUCAGUGCUCGAUAAGACAUCGGGGGAAAGCCAGUCCCUAAUUUGUAUGUGAUGCAAUGAGGAACAAAAUUAACGUCUUGCCUUUCCCUAGCAGGAUUCUUAUUUCUUUGCUUCAUUUACCUCUUUCCUCCUUUACUCUCCCCUUUCACCUCCUCCACCAAAAGAGACUGAGUCUGUCUCAGAACACUACAUUCAAAUUACUUUAAAUGUUGGCUCAUCCCCAUGAAAUUACAGUGAAAUUAAAAAUAAUCUGUACACGUCCCAGACAUGAUUAUAUUUGAUUUACACACACACACACACACACACACACACACACACACACACACACACACAAUCAGGCUACCUCCCAUUUGCUGAGGGAGAAGGACCACUUUUUCUGAGUUUUCAUUCACUGAGCGUGAGAGCAAAGUCUCUUAAGCAGAAAUUCGCCUGGCUUCUUGCAUGGUUUUUUAAAUUGGAUUUCUGCUUUGUGUCCACAGAAAUAGACUCCUAUUAGAAGAGGGGAAGUGGAGACAUAGAUAUUCUGCUGAGAUAUUGGUGUCAUCAUAUUUGAGUUGGAAAGGACUUACGACAGCAUAGAGUCGUACCUUUUUAUGGGUGAGAAUCCAUGAUAGUGUAACUUGGACAAGAACCCGGGUCUUCUGUCUUCAUGUCCACGCGGAUGAAGAGGCAACUGGGUGGGGGAUGGCAGGGAUCCUUACUUGAGUUCCGGGGUCUUGCUAGUUUCCAUUGUUCAGCUGCCUUUAGUUUAUGUCCAUGUGGCCUCUCAUGGGAAGGUCACUCUAUCCUGAUAGAUUGAGUUUCUAAUCAGCAAAAAGGUCUGGACCCACUCAUGUUUCCCAGAGAUUUUCUGCUGACCUGCUGACAGUUUAUAUACAUGAGAUCUUAGAAACUGCUGGAUAUAAAAUCCUUAUUGUUAUCAUUUGCCCUCGAGUUCCACAGGAAUGGGGUGCUGUCUCAGGCUGUCUAAGGCCAGCUCUGAACAAAGAUAGGGUGAUAGGCUGUGCAGCUGGACACUCCCCAGUCGAAUGGGAUUUCCACCUUAGUUUUUAGAAUCAGGCAGAUGAGUUCAAAUCUUACCUUUACCAGUUAUUAGCUUUGUGACCUUGAGGAAGAAACUUUACUUUUUUGGGGACAAAUUUUCUUUAUCCGUAAAUAAGUUCAGUAUUUAUUUUAGGGUUUUUGUUUUAGAAUUGAAUGAGCUAAUUCCCUCAUUUAUUCCUAAAAUACUGAUCACAUGGUUCUAUGCUGGUGACCUAGUGGUUGAUUACUAAGGGACUCAGUAGUGAGAAUGUGGGUGAGGCUCCCUGGAUAAUAGAGCUUAUAUUCCAUGAUAUGCUUGUAAAAGACUGGAUUGCAGUGGAUUUUUAGUAAAUGUCCAUUCUUUUCCUAAUCCCCAUUGAUUGUGUAUAUAUCUUUAUACUAAUAUAUGAACAAUUUUUUAUUGCAAUAUAAGUCUUUUUGUAGUAUUUAAAGUAUGUAGCUAUAACAAAAAUACGUGAAAUAAAAUGAUUUGACUUUUAUUUUCUUUUCAAUAAACAAAACAAAAUAAAAUAGAAAAGAAAAGAAAAAGUUUUGAAGGAGUAGAAAUAAUUUUAUUUCCGUGUAAUCGACUCCCUAUGUUAGGUUUUUCGGUUGUGUUCUUAAACAGCAUAUAAAAUUGACAGGUUUUGACUUCAGUGUUGAUAGCUGGGUGAGUAUAGUUUCUUUUUGUGGUUGUCUUUGAUGAAUUAUUUGCACUAGAUCAUAAAUAAUGUGCAUGUUACAUAUUGGAAACGAGGAAAGAGUGGAGACAUACUACCUCCAAUGCAGUCAUUUUGUUACCGAGUCCAAACUCAUUCUGCUCACCAAAUGACAGGCCAAUAAACUGGGAGAUGAGGUGUUGGAGCAAGGAAUAGUGACUUUAUUUGCAAAGCUGGCAGACCCAGAAGAUGGCAGACUGAUGUCCUGAAGAACCAUCUUCCCCAAGUCAGAAUUGAGUCUCCUUUUAUACUAAAAAGGGGUGGGGCUGCAGUUGGUUGUUGGAAACUUCUUGUUGUAUGAAUUGCUUGUCCUUUGAAUCCGCUGUUCUUGCAGCUGUCCAUGUGGUCAAAUCAUGUUGCCAUUGUAAUACCUCCAAAAGUAAAACAAAGUUAUUCUCUAUUUUGCAACUUGCCAUCUCUACAUAAGUGCAGAUUAGUUAGCAUCCUUCAAGAUCACGGCCAGGAGAAGAGGCUGUCCUGGAUAUUUCAGUCUAAAGGCAACUUUCUUUUACAAAUGGUGCAGAGAUAGCAAGUCUGAGCCUAGAAAACAGGGCACAGGUUUAAAGCCAAAGGAACAGACCUAACAUGGGGUCAAAAUUGUUCUUUUCUAUUACAAUUCCCUUUUCCGCUUCAUAGAUAAUUUUAGUAAGAAACAUGAGCAAUUUUGUAUUUUUGCUUCUUAAUAACCGAUAAGUGGGCCAACUAUAUUUUUGUGAGCAGGGAUGCUGUGCGGGCAUAGGGGUCACAGCAAACUCUUGUUGGGGGUGGCCGACCCUGGAACAUGUCUGAUGCCCCGUGAGUGUUGGUGAGGGUCCCCUAGCCAGCGGCUCUCUUCAGGAGGCAGCAUAUGGGCAUUGAUAUCUGGAGACCUCAUUUUCGGCUGCAGGAAAUUUUUUAGAUACUGCGAUUGAAAAAUCACUCCAGCUGGGGAUAAUUAGGGAAAAAAGGAAAAGUAAAAGGGUUUGGAGUAGAGUAGAAGAGAAGGACAUCAGAUCACGGAGCCUGAGUGCUUGGCAGCGGGGCUUCGGGGGAGAGGGGAGCAGACGUGGGGAGGGGCCUGGCACCGGAACCAGCUCCUGCACCUGUCAACAUGCCCAAGCCACAUAGCUUUUAAUUGGGCCACCUCUCUGGGCUGGAUGUCACCCUGUGCAGAACCUUGAGAAUCGAAGGUAAGGGGUGGGCAGCACUCACCUAGGGGUCACUGUAGAUUUCGGUCAAGUCCACAGUGCCUUUUCUGUUCAUGUGUCUUCACUUGUCCUUUAUCUCAGGAUCUGAGGAGGAGGAGAAAGGAACUCAGAUAGAAAUCCAGGAAGAUAUCCGACUGUGUUAAGAGAGGACAGACACAGUGACACGGGGAGCGAGGACACUUGCAGCAAAUGUAAGAAUGCCGGUGACUGAGUUAGAAGCAUGCUCCCAAGCUGUCCGUGUCCUUGCCAUUCAGAAGCGGACCCUGGAAGCUUCCAAAUUUCUCCAGAAUGCGUUCUACAUUCACCUUCGGCAGGUGAGUGUAUGUCUUUACACAAGUGGAGGAAUUACUGCCGUUUUCCUGGACCUUACUCACCACUAGUCCAUCUGAUUUUUCUGUGCUAGGAUUCAGUAUGGCCUGCUAAAAUAUCUGGAGUCAGAUCUUGAAACACUGAUGAAGAGGAUCAUUUAUUUUAUUUCUAUAUAUGAUAGCCUUUUACUUUCAAAAUUCAGAAUUUUUGGUUCUUUCAGGAAUUUUUGGGGGGUUGGCGAAACAACUUUGCUCUUACAAUCUUUGAGACCUGUUGCUUUGUGCCUCUCACCUGUCUUCUGUCACUUGUGAGAGGCGAUUCCAUUUGUGACCCUGUCCGGGUUGUUCAUGUUAUAAAACAUAUAGUCUGUUAAAGUACAGUCCCUUUUACUCUAAAGACAUUCCACAAAUACUACUAAAACCUGGGUGUGGUUUUAAGAAGACAGAAUCAUUAGAAAAUGUACUUGCAGGUUGCUAGUGCAAAAUCCCCAAAUCAAUAGUCCAGCUCAACAUCUAAAAUCUAU